rnacentral:rRNA from 1 species
UACGUAGGGAGCAAGCGUUGUCCGGAAUCAUUGGGCGUAAAGCGCGCGUAGGCGGCCCUGUAAGUCCGUUGUGAAAGUCAAAGGCUCAACCUUUGAAAGCCGAUGGAUACUGCAGGGCUAGAGUCCGGAAGAGGCGAGUGGAAUUCCUGGUGUAGCGGUGGAAAAUGCGCAGAUAUCAGGAGGAAAACACCAAUAGCGAAAGGGCAGCUCGCUGGGACGGUAACUGACGCUAAAGGCGCGAAGCGUGGGAGCGAAACAGG